rnacentral:rRNA from 1 species
UACGGAGGUCUCAAGCGUUGUUCGGAUUCAUUGGGCGUAAAGGGUUGCGCAGGGCUGUGUGGUAAGUCGGGUGUGAAAUUUAGAGGCUCAACCUCUAAACUGCACCUGAUACUGCCAUGCUAGAGGACUGUAGAGGAGAUUGGAAUUCACGGUGUAGCAGUGAAAUGCGUAGAUAUCAGGAGGAACACCGGUGGCGAAGGCGGGUCUCUGGGCCGAUAUUGACGCUGAGGAGCGAAAGCGUGGGGGAGCGAACAGG